rnacentral:rRNA from 1 species
UGGGGAAUUUUGGACAAUGGGCGAAAGCCUGAUCCAGCAAUGCCGCGUGUGUGAAGAAGGCCUUCGGGUUGUAAAGCACUUUUGUCCGGAAAGAAAUCCUUGGCUCUAAUACAGUCGGGGGAUGACGGUACCGGAAGAAUAAGCACCGGCUAACUACGUGCCAGCAGCCGCGGUAAUACGUAGGGUGCAAGCGUUAAUCGGAAUUACUGGGCGUAAAGCGUGCGCAGGCGGUUUGCUAAGACCGAUGUGAAAUCCCCGGGCUCAACCUGGGAACUGCAUUGGUGACUGGCAGGCUAGAGUAUGGCAGAGGGGGGUAGAAUUCCACGUGUAGCAGUGAAAUGCGUAGAGAUGUGGAGGAAUACCGAUGGCGAAGGCAGCCCCCUGGGCCAAUACUGACGCUCAUGCACGAAAAGCGUGGGGGAGCAAACAGGAUUAGAUACCCUGGUAGUCCACGCCCUAAACGAUGUCAACUAGUUGUUGGGGAUUCAUUUCCUUAGUAACGUAGCUAACGCGUGAAGUUGACCGCCUGGGGAGUACGGUCGCAAGAUUAAAACUCAAUGAAUUGACGGGGUCAUAGCUGUUUCCU